rnacentral:miRNA from 2 species
UAAAUGCAUCUAAGAUGCGAAUG